rnacentral:rRNA from 1 species
UACGUAGGGUGCAAGCGUUUGUCCGGAAUUAUUGGGCGUAAAGAGCUCGUAGGCGGUCUGUCGCGUCGGCUGUGAAAACCCGGAGCUCAACUCCGGGCCUGCAGUCGAUACGGGCGGACUUGAGUGUUGCAGGGGAGACUGGAAUUCCUGGUGUAGCGGUGAAAUGCGCAGAUAUCAGGAGGAACACCGGUGGCGAAGGGCGGGGUCUCUGGGGCAACUACUGACGCUGAGGAGCGAAAGCGUGGGUAGCAAACAGGA